GGCCCCGUAGCUCAGUGGAUAGAGCAGCAGACUUCGAAUCUGCGUGUCGGAGGUUCGACUCCUCCCGGGGUCA
rnacentral:tRNA from 1 species